AAAAGUGCACGAUUAAUAAAGUUAUUGGCUUCUAAAGUAGGGAGUCGACUCUGAAUCGCUGAAACGAGUUGUUAUAGGGAGUGAGUCUUCUUCCUGAUAUUAUCCACGUCACACGAACUUAUCCACGUCACAUGAGAUACUAAUCUCCGCCUACAGCCUUGCCCGGGAGAAACGAAAACCCUGCCCCCAGGAUCAAAGACGCUUCCUAGUUGGUGUGAUAACAUCAUGUCGAGGAGACAGUGUGUUUUUAGUUGUAAAGGCAAGUUUGCUUUAUUUUCACUGCCAAAAAAUGAAGACCAGAAGAAUCAGUGGUUAAAAUUCAUUUUUACCACGAUACCACAGCAGUACAACAAACCCCUUUGGUUGUGUUCCCGUCAUUUUACUGACGAUUGUUUUUCCAAUCUCUGUGAGUUCAAAGCGGGAUUUUUAAAACGUUUGACCAUGAAAGAGGGUUCAUUACCAACUUUAUAUGGACCAACAAGCAUCUCAGAACCACUACCUAGUACAUCACAACAGAUUGAGUUACCAAACAUUUUGUUUGUGGAGGUGGAAUGUCAGACUGAACCUCCACACACAAAGUCAGUAGGAACACAGACAGAACUGCCACAGAUAUCUGUUGGCACACAGCUAUCUACUGGUACACUGAAAGAAACACACAGUAGGAGCAAAGGAUCACAAGCAACAGUUUCUUUAGAAAGUGUUGGCACAGAAACCACUACAGCUCUUUAUGAUCUACCAUUUUCGUCUACACCUGUAAAGCCUACUGGAUUUCGACCACAUAAAAGACCUAGACUGGAGUUGGAGGAGGAGGAGGAAGAAGAAGGGUCAGUGAGAGAACCUCAUGACUCAACCUUUAAUCCUGGCGACUCUACAAUAUCUGAGGAAUCUGAAAUUUCGUUUGUGCAGAGGACAAUCUAUGGUGAUAACAAGUUCAUUGUGUUUGAAACCUGUCUGCGUGAGCUGUUUGCCACAUGCCCGAUUUGUAAAAACAAGUGUGAUGUGACUUUACGCCGGAUGGGUACAUAUGUGGCAUUCCACCAGCUUUGCCCCAAGUGUAGUUGCUACAGGCAAUGAGAGAGCCAGCCCACUGUUGGUAGCAUUCCGGUCGGAAACCUUCAGUUGUCUGCAGCAACGUAUUUUACCGGAGGAUCAUUCAUCCAAGUACAAAAUGUACACAUGAAGCGUUUUUUAGUACCGAUUUGCAAGGGGAUGCAGUUACAAAUUUUUACGUACGAAACCUUCCGGAGACAUUGCAGGAGCUUCCUGGAGCCUGCCAUAAUCCACAAAUGGAAAAGUGAACAACAAAACCUUUUCCAGAAGUUUAGACAGAGUGGAAAGAUUGGCCUCGCCGGAGAUAUGCAUGCAGACUCACCCGGACAUUCAGCCAAAUAUGGUAGUUACACGUUGAUGCACACAGAGAGCAACACCAUUUUGGACACACAACUUGUUCAGAGCAAUGAAGUCGGCGGGAGUUACCAUAUGGAGAAAGAAGGUCUAAAGAGAUGUCUUGAUCAUCUGGAGUCCAGUGGCUUAACAGUCGACUACAUUGUGACUGACCGUCACCCUCAGAUACAAAAAUAUUUGAGAGAACGCAACAUAACACAGUUUUACGAUUUGUAGCAUUUUGAAAAAGGUCUGUCAAAGAAGCUUGAGCAACUUUCCAAAAACAAAGAGUGUGACGUUUUGAAGAAGUGGCUUCGUAGCAUAAGGAACCAUGUAUACUGGAGUGCCAUAACUUCUACAACAGGACCAGAGAAAGUGGCUAAGUGGACAUCAAUUCUGAAUCACAUUCAGAAUGUGCAUGUACACGAGAACCCCAUCUUCCCAAAGUGUGCCCAUCCAGACCGUAUGUCCAAGAAUCCAAAGAAAUGGUUUAAUCCAGAAUCACUGGCACUCCACAAAGUUGAGAAGAUGUGGAAAAGUUAAGUCACCACUUUCAGACAUCAUCGCUGGAGGCUUUCCACAGCUUAAUUUUGAGGUUUACACCAAAAAAUGUAGUAUUCCCUUACAUGGGAAUGUUGUGCAGAUUGUACCUUGCAGUUCUACACCAUAAUGAGAACACUGGUCGAGAACAAGCAACAACUGCAACAGGGAAACCAGUCUACAAAGUGGUGUUUCCAAAGUCUAAAAAGGGAGAACCCAUUGCAAGGCCACUGAAAACAGAGGCUACAAACAAUUAUGUGGAUGACCUAAUGAGGCUCGUCUUUGAGGAGGUUGUCGUCGACCCAGCACCUUUUGUUGAGGAGCUACAGGCAAUUCCUGUUCCCAUUCCAAUUUCUGCCGAGUUCGAGAGACCCUCAAAGGAGGAAACGAUUGCCCGCCAUUUCUCCCGGUUCAGUCGAGAGGUGGCCGAAAACCGACGUAGUGACCAGCCAGAUCUGGAAACUCCUGGCGUAUCCGGGAUACAACGCAGGAAGGAAUGACCACACGGACAUGUCGACCUAAGAAGCCCCAGCACCAGCUAACAAAGCUCCGAUAUGCCAAAUGACGAAAUUGCCUAUAUUACAAAGAUAAAACAUUCUUAGUAUAUGGCAAGAAUUCAAAAUUUCUAUUUGUACAAAAAAAUAUAUCUGUUUACAUAUAAAGUUCAUUUUAUUACAA